AUGUCCUACAGAUAUCUACCAGAUGAUAUGUACUGUGGCUUUACACAGAGUAUUACAAGAGACUGUGGUGACAUUCUAUGUCAUUUACCUAUGAUGUCCUACAGAUAUCUACCAGAUGAUAUGUACUGCAGCCUUGCAGUACAUGAUGUGUUUGUGCUGGGGUGCAUUAGCUUGUCCACCCAGCCAGUUGAAUUGAAUACAGAAUAACAGACAAAAAAGGGGCACUACUGACUGACACAGCUUGUCUACAAAACCAGCUAAAUUUGACUUGAGAAUAACAAAGACAAGCAAUGGCCAGUGCAAACUGACAGGAAGAAAAAUGAAAUACACUUGAUACCUCCCACGAGGUCCUACCAGCACCUAACAGAAGCUGCCCCACCAGGCCAGGAAACCAUAAAAGGUGGUACAACAUUGCUGAUUCUCGGCAGAGUCUAACCUUGAGGCCAUGAUCAGAGGACUGCUCUGGCGAUGAUGGCUGUCGGUAAGGAUACCAGGUGAUGGCUCUCUGCAGAUUUCAUGGGAGUGCGCUGAUGGCGAUUGCUGGCCACUGUGAAGGUUAGUGUGAGUAGGAGCAGAGAUAAUCGUAUCUCACUAUUCAUGGGUGUGUACAGCAGUGAUAACUUUGGGGUGGUGUGCUCGAUAGACUUGCAUAAGACACCAUUCAGACUUUCAUACAAGUAGAUUAACAAACUGGGAAGACUAGAAGUUGAAUC